UAUAGCUUUGCCCAUUUGAAGUCGAUUUUUCAUCCCUUCAAGAUGUUUGUUGGAUUUUAUCCUGAUUAAAGAGGAAGAUUCAAGUUUUCUCUCAUAGUUGCGCCCCAAAAGGGCUCUAUGAAGGAAAUCCAAUAUAAAAAAAGAUUCUUCGAAAGGGAUAACGAGGACUUGCCUAACCCCAUGAGUUUAGAUUCAAAAAAAGAAGAAGAAAGGAAAAAUCAAAGUCAAAAGAAAAAAGAAAAAGAUCAAUCAAAGUCAAAAUAAAAAAUGAAAAUGAAAAAAGGAAAAUGAAAAAAGGAGAGGCCAAGGCAAAAACCUGC
rnacentral:lncRNA from 1 species